rnacentral:rRNA from 1 species
CGGCGAGUGGCGAACGGGUGAGUAAUGCAUCGGAACGUACCCAGUAGUGGGGGAUAACUUACCGAAAGGUAAGCUAAUACCGCAUACGCACUGAGGUGGAAAGCAGGGGACCGCAAGGCCUUGCGCUAUUGGAGCGGCCGAUGUCGGAUUAGCUAGUUGGUGGGGUAAAGGCCUACCAAGGCGACGAUCCGUAGCGGGUCUGAGAGGAUGAUCCGCCACACUGGAACUGAGACACGGUCCAGACUCCUACGGGAGGCAGCAGUGGGGAAUUUUGGACAAUGGGCGCAAGCCUGAUCCAGCCAUGCCGCGUGAGUGAAGAAGGCCUUCGGGUUGUAAAGCUCUUUCGGCCGGGAAGAAAUCGUGGUGGCUAAUACCUGCCAUGGAUGACGGUACCGGACUAAGAAGCACCGGCUAACUACGUGCCAGCAGCCGCGGUAAUACGUAGGGUGCGAGCGUUAAUCGGAAUUACUGGGCGUAAAGCGUGCGCAGGCGGUUGUGUAAGACAGGCGUGAAAUCCCCGGGCUCAACCUGGGAACUGCGCUUGUGACUGCACGGCUAGAGUACGGCAGAGGGGGGUGGAAUUCCACGUGUAGCAGUGAAAUGCGUAGAGAUGUGGAGGAACACCGAUGGCGAAGGCAGCCCCCUGGGUCGAUACUGACGCUCAUGCACGAAAGCGUGGGGAGCAAACAGGAUUAGAUACCCUGGUAGUCCACGCCCUAAACGAUGUCGACUAGUUGUUGGAGGGGUAAAACCCUUUAGUAACGUAGCUAACGCGUGAAGUCGACCGCCUGGGGAGUACG